CCUACGGGAGGCAGCAGUGGGGAAUAUUGGGCAAUGGGCGCAAGCCUGACCCAGCAACGCCGCGUGAAGGAAGAAGGCUUUCGGGUUGUAAACUUCUUUUCUUAGGGACGAUGCAAGCGAUGGUUCCCGAGGAAUAAGCCACGGCUAACUACGUGCCAGCAGCCGCGGUAAUACGUAGGCGGCAAGUGUUAUACGGAUUUACUGGGAGUAAAGGGCGUGUAGGCGGGACAGCAAGUCAGAGGUGAAAUCCACGGGCUCAACCUGUGGCCUGCAUUUGAAACUGUAGUUCUUGAGUACUGGAGAGGCAGGCGGAAUUCCUGGUGUAGCGGUAAAAUGCGUAGAUAUUAAGAGGAACACCAGUGGCGAAGGCGAUCUGCUAGAACACAACUGACGCUGAGGCGCGAAAGCGUGGGGAGCAAACAGGAUUAGAUACCCUUGUAGUC
rnacentral:rRNA from 1 species